rnacentral:tRNA from 1 species
GCGUUUUUAGCUCAGUUGGAUAGAGCAACUGCCUUCUAAGCAGUAGGUCACUGGUUCGAGUCCAGUAAAGCGCG